CCUUAGCCCCGAUUGCAGCGGCAUCCUUUUGUGCAGCGCAGCGGAACAAAAGAUAUAGCGGAAAGCGGGAAUAAGC
rfam:Flavobacteriaceae bacterium JJC contig01, whole genome shotgun sequence.